UACGUAGGUGACCAGCGUUGUCCGGAUUUACUGGGCGUAAAGAGCGCGCAGGCGGUCGUUCAAGUCGAGUGUGAAAGCCCCCGGCUCAACUGGGGAGGGUCAUUCGAUACUGAUCGACUGGAAGGCAGGAGAGGGAAGCGGAAUUCCCGGUGUAGUGGUGAAAUGCGUAGAUAUCGGGAGGAACACCAGUGGCGAAGGCGGCAUCCUGGACCGGUAUUGACGCUGAGGCGCGAAAGCUAGGGGAGCGAACGGG
rnacentral:rRNA from 1 species